UGGAGGACUGAGAAGGUUCAGCAGCUUGCGUUGUGCUGCUGUAACUGGUUAAAACCUCCAAGAGUAACAAACAAACCACCAGAUUUA
ensembl:snoRNA